UACGGAGGGGACGAGCGUUGUCCGAAGUUACUGGGCGUAAAGCGCGCGUAGGCGGGUUGGCAAGUCUGCUGUGAAAGCCCGGGGCUUAACCCCGGAGGGUCGGUGGAUACUGCCAGUCUUGAAGGUGCUAGGGGGAGAUGGAAUUACCGGUGUAGCGGUGAAAUGCGCAGAUAUCAGGAGGAACACCGGUGGCGAAGGCGGGUCUCUGGGCCGUUACUGACGCUGAGGAGCGAAAGCGUGGGGAGCGAACAGG
rnacentral:rRNA from 1 species